CCAACUUGGUUCAAGUGCUAAUCCUGGCAUUGUUGGUUCCACUAGCGCACCUGAUAUUAUGCAAUUAUAUUCAGACAAACCUGCAAGUGGGCAGAGUGGUGGUUUCAUGUAUCCUUCGUCAUCUGAUAGGAGUGAUGACAAUCUUGUAUCUGGAUUGGCAAAUGCUACCACGGACUCUGCUCACAAUAUAACUACAGCUGC
rnacentral:misc_RNA from 1 species